rfam:Clostridium sp. W14A NODE_26, whole genome shotgun sequence.
AUUAUGAUACUCCUGUCCAGCCACAGACAUCGCAAUGGGGGCAGCUCGGAGAGAACCUCGGAGGGGUAUAGAGCCCGUGU